GGCGGGGCACCGGUGUCUCCCUCGCGGCCGGUUGCUCCACCUCACCUCGCCCCACCCGGAGCCGCCUUCCGGCGGGAGCCGGCGCUAAGGACGGGAGAAACUGGUUCAUGUGUCAGCCACCCGAGGGCUUGGCCGCCACGGCUGUGUCAGACGGGGACGAGCCUGUGAAAACACCAGCAUGUGCCGCCGCGUCCACAGGACCUUCCUGCGUGUGUGAUAAGGCGCUCUGAGGAAAAGAUUCUGGAAGGCCGGCGAGGGGAGAGGAUGAAAGGCCUGCACGCAGGGGAAGUCCUGGCCCUGAGAGAGGAGCAGGCAGAUCCGGGGACUUCCGCGCGCCCCCGCCAAGUUAAUAUGCUACAAGAACCAGCUGGGCAGGGUCUGGACACGCCUUUCUGUUCGGCAGUGCACAGAGCAGAUAGAGGCCAUCCCGGUGUGCCAGGUGAGCAGAGUCUUAUAGUGGAAGACGACUGGCAUGGAGGGUCAAGAGCUUGAAGAUGGUAUUUUCCUACUAGCAUUAAGUAUCAGCAAGAUGUAGAGAGAGAAUAUGCUUCCAUUUACUGGUUCAUUCCACAAGCACCCACAGUGGCCAGGGGGCCAAAGCCAAGGGCUGAAAACUCAAUCCAGGUCUCGCCUGUGGAUGGCAGGGACCCAACUACCUGAACCAUCUCCUGCUACCUCCCGGGUGGGUCUCAGCCAGGACUGAAAUCAGGAGAAGAGCCAGGACUCCAUGGCAUCGCUCCGAUAUGGGAUGCCGGUAUCCCAGGCAGCGGCUUAACACCUGCUAGGCCAAACACCCGCCCCUCAUUGAGUUUUUAAUUUGAAUGAAUUAAUCUUUUAUAUCCUAGAAACAAGUUGGUACUGUUUCAGAUCUGCCUGUUCUCUGCUCAUAUUGUCCUUUUGUCCCAUUAUGAUUUCAAUUUAGUCUUUUUCCUCUUUAGGCACUUUAAAUAGAGUGAUGUUUAUAGUCUCUUGCAGAGUGCUCAGUUAGCUGUAAUUCUUUGGGUACUAUGUUGUUGAGCACUAAGUCUUUCAGUUCUUCCUCGUCUCUUCAUAUGGUCUAUAAUUUGUUGCUGCGAGCUCCUCUUAGCCAGCAGUCGUGUGUUUUGUGGGAGUCCCGCGUGCCCUAGAUUACAGCUUUGUCCCCACAGCGCAGAUUCACUGUUUGUUCUCAAGGGUCCCAGAAUUGUCGUGGGCCUUGGCCCAAUUUGUUUUUCUUGCCCAAUUUUUGUGAGUUUAUCAGACAAGGACUCGCACGCUGGAAAGCUAGUAUAAAAUUAGAUCCCGCACUCAGGCGUGGGGUUUGUUUCUCAGAAGAGAUGUGUCAUUUUCCACGGUCUCAAAGUCCUGAAUACUGCAAGAUUCCUCGCUCUUUUUCUUUGCUGGAGCCCUUUUUCUCCUAUAUAAUGCACUAAGCCACCUUGCAAGAACCUCUCUUUAAUUCAGCCUCUUAAUUCCUCUCAGUUCAUCGUGAGUGGGCCCGAGUCUCCGUCCUUGUGUUUAUGUGACGUAGGUAUAGCCCAGCUCCCAUUCUCUAAGCGCUGGUCUUGUCACCCAGCCUUACCGUUCUCGGUUCCAUCUUGGCUUAGUGAUCUGCUUUUAGAAACACAACUCGAUUGUGCCGUCAUCAUUUAUUUUACUAUAUUUUAUUCAGAAUAUCAGUAUUUUUAUUGCAAGAAGUGUCUGCAUCAGCUCACCUUGUUGCUGGAACCAGAAGUCGCUGAAAAAAAUCUUGGUUAUGCCUGUAUUUAAAGAAAUAUUCUCCAUGGGGAAGGUUUACGGGGGAUUUUGAUUUUCUAUUAAAGUCUUACUUUUAUUGUUUGGACUUUAUACA